GUCUACGGCCAUACCACCCUGAACGCGCCCGAUCUCGUCUGAUCUCGGAAGCUAAGCAGGGUCUGGCCUGGUUAGUACUUGGAUGGGAGAAUCUAUGUGUGCUUUGUACC
ensembl:rRNA 5S_rRNA 5S ribosomal RNA